UAAUAAUCUGAGUAUGUCAGUUGCAAAACAAGCACUUUUUGUGGACGUAAAUUGAAGCUGCACAAUCUUGCUUAAUACUGGACCAAUUUCAAAGAUUGUUCUUCCCAUAAGU